rnacentral:rRNA from 1 species
GCUAGCUACAGGCUUAACACAUGCAAGUCGAGGGGAAACGAUAUUGGAAGCUUGCUUCCGAUAGGCGUCGACCGGCGCACGGGUGAGUAACGCGUAUCCAACCUGCCCACCACUUGGGGAUAACCUUGCGAAAGUAAGACUAAUACCCAAUGAUAUCUCUAGAAGACAUCUGAAGGAGAUUAAAGAUUUAUCGGUGAUGGAUGGGGAUGCGUCUGAUUAGCUUGUUGGCGGGGUAACGGCCCACCAAGGCUACGAUCAGUAGGGGUUCUGAGAGGAAGGUCCCCCACAUUGGAACUGAGACACGGUCCAAACUCCUACGGGAGGCAGCAGUGAGGAAUAUUGGUCAAUGGGCGAGAGCCUGAACCAGCCAAGUAGCGUGCAGGAUGACGGCCCUAUGGGUUGUAAACUGCUUUUAUAAGGGAAUAAAGUGAGAGUCGUGACUCUUUUUGCAUGUACCUUAUGAAUAAGGACCGGCUAAUUCCGUGCCAGCAGCCGCGGUAAUACGGAAGGUCCGGGCGUUAUCCGGAUUUAUUGGGUUUAAAGGGAGCGUAGGCCGGAGAUUAAGCGUGUUGUGAAAUGUAGAUGCUCAACAUCUGCACUGCAGCGCGAACUGGUUUCCUUGAGUACGCACAAAGUGGGCGGAAUUCGUGGUGUAGCGGUGAAAUGCUUAGAUAUCACGAAGAACUCCGAUUGCGAAGGCAGCUCACUGGAGCGCAACUGACGCUGAAGCUCGAAAGUGCGGGUAUCGAACAGGAUUAGAUACCCUGGUAGUCCGCACGGUAAACGAUGGAUGCCCGCUGUUGGUCUGAAUAGGUCAGCGGCCAAGCGAAAGCAUUAAGCAUCCCACCUGGGGAGUACGCCGGCAACGGUGCAACUCAAAGG